rnacentral:lncRNA from 1 species
AAAACAUUUCCAUAAUCUCAGAAAGUUUUACUGGACAGCACUAGGCCUUUCUAGAAUCUUUUUUUUUUUUUUUUUUUUUGAGACAGAGUUUUGCUCUUGUUGCCUAGGCUGGAGUGCAAUGACACGAUCUCGGCUCAAUGCAACCUCUGCCUCCUGGGUUCAAGCAAUUCUUCUGCCUCAGCCUCCAGAGUAGCUGGCAUUACAGCAAUUACCAGCUGAUGCUGAGUAACUUCUGCCCCCUUAAAGCCAGGCACAUACUAACUGGUUCACCUCAAUCUGCACCACUCUGCUGCCCAGUGCCCAGUGUGUGGCUAUUCAAGGAUAUUGCAGUGUUUCUUUGGACCCGUGUGAGAAUUAUGUACUAUGUGGCACAAUAAAUGGGAAUACAUUGGUUUUCAAGGGCUGUUUGAUCCCUGUGAUUGGAACCUGCAUUUAUUAGCAGGCUUGAUGAGUGUGGGGUUGGUCUGCUGUUUUCCUAAACUUGAAUAUCUUCAAGCCUGUGAUAUUUCUUCCCAAUGUAACAUAUUACUUGGCAUCUAGAGAAAUGGUACUUAAUUUUAGAAGAGGUCACAGAUGCCUUUGGGAAUUUGAUAAAAGCUGUAGACUUAGUAAGGGUGGGAAUAUGCACAUAAAGACACAAAUGUUUACAUACAGUGUCGGGGGUACAAAGACACCCCCUCGCCCCCAGCACAUCCCUGGCUCUCCGAGGAGUCCUCAGAUCUUCAUUCAGAAUCCCUGCCCUGGAGACUUCCCCCUAAAAUAGGAGAUUGGUUGUUUACAUCAGCUCCAUUCUCUCCCAAAACUUAAUCUUACAAUAAUAAUAAAAGAAUAUUUAAAGCAUAAGCCUACAGGGACAAAGAAAAUGAGAAAGAA